CACGUAGGGUGCAAGCGUUGUCCGGGAUCAUUGGGCGUAAAGAGCUCGUAGGCGGCUUAGUAAGUCGGGUGUGAAAACUCUAGGCUCAACCUAGAGACGCCACCCGAUACUGCUAUAGCUAGAAUCCAGUAGGGGAGUGUGGAAUUCCCAGUGUAGCGGUGAAAUGCGCAGAUAUUGGGAGGAACACCAGCGGCGAAGGCGGCACUCUGGGCUGGUAUUGACGCUGAGGAGCGAAAGCGUGGGUAGCGAACAGG
rnacentral:rRNA from 1 species